rnacentral:rRNA from 1 species
ACGCGUGGAACCUUACCAGGUCUUGACAUCCCAUUGACCGCUAUGGAGACAUAGCUUUCCCUUCGGGGGACAGAGUGACAGGUGGUGCAUGGUUGUCGUCAGCUCGUGUCGUGAGAUGUUGGGUUAAGUCCCGCAACGAGCGCAACCCUUGUUCUUAGUUGCCAUCAUUUAGUUGGGCACUCUAAGGAGACUGCCGGUGACAAACCGGAGGAAGGUGGGGAUGACGUCAAAUCAUCAUGCCCCUUAUGACCUGGGCUACACACGUGCUACAAUGGAUGGUACAAAGGGCAGCAAAGCGGUGACGCCUAGCAAAUCCCAUAAAACCAUUCUCAGUUCGGAUUGUAGGCUGCAACUCGCCUACAUGAAGCUGGAAUCGCUAGUAAUCGCGGAUCAGCAUGCCGCGGUGAAUACGUUCCCGGGCCUUGCACACACCGCCC